AUUGAACGCUGGCGGCAUGCCUUACACAUGCAAGUCGAACGGCAGCGGACCUUCGGGUGCCGGCGAGUGGCGAACGGGUGAGUAAUGCAUCGGAACGUACCUUUCAGUGGGGGAUAACGUAGCGAAAGUUACGCUAAUACCGCAUAUUCUGUGAGCAGGAAAGCAGGGGAUCGCAAGACCUUGCGCUGAUUGAGCGGCCGAUGGCAGAUUAGCUAGUUGGUGAGGUAAAGGCUCACCAAGGCGACGAUCUGUAGCGGGUCUGAGAGGAUGAUCCGCCACACUGGAACUGAGACACGGUCCAGACUCCGACGGGAGGCAGCAGUGGGGAAUUUUGGACAAUGGGGGCAACCCUGAUCCAGCCAUGCCGCGUGAGUGAAGAAGGCCUUCGGGUUGUAAAGCUCUUUCGGCCGGGAAGAAAUCGCACGGGCUAAUACCCUGUGUGGAUGACGGUACCGGAAUAAGAAGCACCGGCUAACUACGUGCCAUCCGCCGCAGUAACAC
rnacentral:rRNA from 1 species